ACACAACCACACAGUCAAAUAUGGUGUACUAGACUACUGUUGUGUAAAUUGACAAAAGCCAAUGCAUAGUAGGCGGCGUUUCCGAUAGACGACCACAACCUUCUAUUUUAAUUUCUUCUAUGGAAUAAAGAUUUUAAGUUCCGGACUUUAGCAUUUUUACCAUUGGAUGUUGCCUAAUGCAUGUGUAGAUUUCAAGUUCCAUGAUGAUCAUUCCGGUGGUGUAAAAUGAUGAGCAAAUCUUCAGCAUCAAAUAUUGCAUCAUUCAAGUCUUCGAGCCAUUGUUUAUCAUGAAUAUCCUUGAACUGCUUCUGUUCUGCAUCAACCAGCACAGCUUGAAGAGCUGAUAGUGUUGUUUCAAAUGAAAACACGAAACUCCGAGAAGGUUUGAACAAAACAGACAGAAAUGUAUUUCCUCCAACCAAAACUGCAGCCAUCUCUUACAAGUUGAGUGAAGUUAGACAUAACUAAUUGUAUGGUAGCUUGGAUAUCUAUCAUACAAAUGUAGAUAUCUUCAAGAAACUUUCAUGCACUUAUGGCUGUACUGCAUGAGAAAGAGUAGUCUUGGCCACAGGAGAGGCAUACAAGUUGUAUACCUCUUCAAGAAACUUUCUUUAAUUGAAUAUUAGCUAUUAUGAUUAAGUUAAUGAGAAUUUUAUGUUAAGGUUAUUUUUUCGAGCUAUUUUUUAUAAUUUUGUCUAUUUGUUGGGAUCUUACAAUCCGAGUUACGAUCCUACUAUUUACGCUUUUUCCAUAUCCUAACGCUCUUUAUUGAGACCCCGAUUUUGACAACCAUGCAUACAACCAUAUGAUAGCUCCGUACUUUUCAUAGAUUUUGACGUGCGUUCGAUGUUAAAUGUGUAUACCUCUUUUGGUUCAGCAUGUUGUGGGAGUCAAACUCCUUCCGCUGGACCCAACCCAGAACCAGGCCAUCUGGUACUCACCACAAGAAAAACCAGAGACAAUAAAAAACAGCAGAAAAUGAAGAAAAUUUGUUGGAAAUGACGUUUUUCGAUAGCUUACAAUCUGCAACAGGGCCAUUGUAAUAAUGCUUGUCAAGAAUGAUAUUCGACGGUAGUGUCCAACAAGAAUAUAUUUCUGUCUGAAACUUUACCGACAAAUCAGAAACUUAAGGAAUGAUCAAACCCAUUAGAAAUCACGCGGUAAUGAACAAUAUUCCUUGAUCGUUGGAGCAAGCAGAUGGAAAUUUUCCUCAGAUUUAAGGAAUACUGAUACAUUGUUGAAUUUGGUGUAGCUAAUCCCAAGAGAAAAAGAAAAAAAAAGUAAUCUGAUAUGACUUGAAGAGUAUCAUGGAAAAGUCUCAAACUGACCACUUUCAGAAAGUGAUUAUUGGAAUAGUUGCAUUAAAAACAAGUUAAAAAGCACAGUAUCUUUUAGAGCAUCAAUCUUUAUGUUACUCAAACAAGUUGCUUGUACUUAGAACCAAG